rnacentral:rRNA from 1 species
AUACGUAGGGGGCGAGCGUUGUCCGGAAUUACUGGGUGUAAAGGGCGUGUAGGCGGGUAUACAAGUUAUUGGUAAAAACCCGAGGCUCAACUUCGGGCUUGCCGAUAAAACUGUAUAUCUUGAGUGCAGGAGAGGGAAGUGGAAUUCCCGGAGUAGCGGUGAAAUGCGUAGAUACCGGGAGGAACACCAGUGGCGAAGGCGGCUUCCUGGCCUGUAACUGACGCUGAGGCGCGAAAGCUGGGGGAGCAAACGGGAUUAGAUACCCCGGUAGUCCCAGCCGUAAACGAUGGUCACUAGGUGUGGGGUGUGGUCAAGCAUUCCGUGCCGGAGCAAACGCAAUAAGUGACCCACCUGGGGAGUACGGCCGCAAGGUUGAA